AAAAGCAGUGCAAGAAAUAGGGGAACCCCAGAAAAUGACUUUGAUCGAACACACACAUCACAAACAGAGAUGCUCUCCACCCCACUCCCAACCUUACUUCAUACUUGAGGAGGUGCUUGCAAACAUGAACCUUAAAAAGUACAGCCAAAAGGGCAGCCAGGGGUUCUGUGGGACAGGUAAAAAAGAUUAUAAUAAAUCUUCUCUGUCAGAACUGCAUCUUAGUUCUUGCUGACUCUGUUUUAAAGCCCAGAUUUGAGCAUCUGAACUUUCCCCCAAGUAGCACAUGACAGAGCCAGUUUGUGCCAGGUUCCAAAAUCAGCUCCCAGAGACCUUUCCUGACCACAGACAGGAGCCAGAGCAGGCAGUGUGACCUUUCUGUGGGGUCACUCUGUGACCAUGUACUAAAA
rnacentral:lncRNA from 12 species